CCGGGAGCGGGGCGAGGGGCGCGGCGGCCACACUCGGUCCCGACACCGUCCACCGCGCGGGCCGCAGGGAGGCAGAAGAAGGGCUCCUCGCGCCGCGGCCGGUCACGCAGCCACACUAGGAUUCCCUUCCCGCCGCGGCCGAGACGGCGAACGCGACCCGGGAUGAGCCGCAGCCCGAGCGGCGGCUGCAGCUGCGGUGGUGGCGGGGCAGAGGGGCGGGGCCACCGGCCGGCGACCCGUUCACCCGGAAGUAGUUGUGGAGGGCGGCGGGUUGACGGUGCGCGCCGCACAGAGGGUACCGCCUGGAUCGCGGAGCGGCGGGUGCGCCUCGGAUGAUGGAGCCGGUGGCGGGGAAGGCGACUCGCUAUCGCUCAAGCCCAGCCUGGUCCCGAGAGUUGGUACCGGAGCUUUUCGUGGCCGUACUUAGCCUGGUGGCCUCUAAGCGGUCUGGCGGCACGACUUGGGGGUACUCCGGAGCCUGUGGCAGAGCGUCGGAGUUUGAAUCACCAUAAUGAGACCCGUUCACACACAUGUGUGCACCAAACUGUGGGCCUGUCCUUCAAUCCCACAUAUCUGGAAGCCCAACAGGCUCAAAGUUCAAGGCACCGGAAGACCAGCGCCUGCUCUCGGGGAAACUUGCCUUCUAAUUGAGUAGAUGAGCAUGAGCAGAUAAACAAGGUAAUGACAGAUUGUUGUGAAACUCAGCAGCAAGCAAUGGUGAGAAGUUUUUGAGGGUGGGGUCUCUGGCUGGGGAAGAUGGUCAGAGAAGACCUCUAGCAGGAAGUGAUAGUUGAUCAGGUAUCUGGGGGAAAGGGCACAAAAUGCUCUUGGACUCAACCUCCCACCUACGAAGACGGCAGAUUUCAGAAGCCCACGGACAAGCCCACGGGUUCCAUUUUAGGAUUUUGUCUAAUGGCUUCGAGAAGAGCGUACUGGGUUGGCCAUUCCCGCUGAGAUAUCAAAGGCUUGGUCAGCCUUAGAGUUCAUGGGGCUGUCAUACAGCAUCAAUCCUGGAGGUUCAGCACACGGAAAGGUAUGCUAAGACAAACUGUGUAUAUCUGUCUGUCUGUCCACACACUCUUGGCAUACAUGAGGAACAACCUCGGGUGAUUCCUCAAGACCCAUGAACCCCCGCCCCCCCUCCUUUUUUUUAAAGACAUUAAAUCUUUCAUUGACCUGGAAUUCACCAGGUCGGCAAAGCCGGCAGCCUCUCCUGGGCUGGGAUUACAGGCAUGCGCCACCACACCUGGCUCUUUUUCUGUAAAAAUAGGCAUUGAGAAAGUGUUCUGAAGCAGCUUUAGAAGUUCACCGUUACCUCUCCUUCAUAUGUUGCCAUCUUUGGCAACAGAAACAGCAGCUGGUCCUCUUGUAAGAGCCGUAGUGUCAAAUGAUUCGAAUGUUGAGCGGAAUGCUGGGACCGACACUAACGUUCUAUCAUUACCAGGAGUUCCUGACGCAGUCUGGAACCCUGGGUUACAUUGUGGGCAGUCUUUCUCUGCACAUUAACUACUUUCUGCCAAAAAUAUCUGUUCCCAGAUCUCUUUGGAAUAUUUUGACAUGUGAAUGCCCCAGGUCUGCGUGGGCUGGCUGCUCUGGGGAUAUAUUAAUAGAUGAAGGAAAAUUUUGCAAAUGUUUAUGCAGCUUUGGAGAAUAAGAUGGCUAGAUCUGUACCUAUUUAUUCUUUCUUCAACAAAUCUUUCAGUUUUCCUUGAUGUCAAGAAAUAAAGCUUUUCCAUUUUUAAUAAUAAA